rnacentral:rRNA from 1 species
CACGUAGUUAGCCGGGGCUUCUUAGUCAGGUACCGUCAUUAUCUUCCCUGCUGAUAGAGCUUUACAUACCGAAAUACUUCUUCACUCACGCGGCGUCGCUGCAUCAGGGUUUCCCCCAUUGUGCAAUAUUCCCCACUGCUGCCUCCCGUAGGAGUCUGGGCCGUGUCUCAGUCCCCAAUGUGGCCGUUCACUCUCUCAAGCCGGCUACUGAUCGUCGCCUUGGUAGGCCCGUUACCCCACCAACAAGCUAAUCAGACGCGGGUCCAUCUCACAGCGAUAAAUCUUUGAAAGGAUCGUCAUGCGGCAAUCCCUUGUUAUGCGGUAUUAGCAGCCGUUCCGGCUGUUGUCCCCCUCUGUGAGGCAGGUUACCCACGCGUUACUCACCCGUCCGCCACUCAGUCAUUACCAUCCUUCCCUCCGAAAAGUUCCGUCGGUAGCGCUUCGUUCGACUUGCAUGUGUUAAGCACGCCGCCAGUCGUUCAUCCUGACGUCCGAGGACUCGAAACUU